GCUUGCACCUUUCAAGCGAGUGGCGAACGGGUGAGUAACACGUGGAUAACCUGCCUCAAGGCUGGGGAUAACAUUUGGAAACAGAUGCUAAUACCGAAUAAAACUUAGUAUCGCAUGAUACAAAGUUGAAAGGCGCUACGGCGUCACCUAGAGAUGGGUCCGCGGUGCAUUAGUUAGUUGGUGGGGUAAAGGCCUACCAAGACAAUGAUGCAUAGCCGAGUUGAGAGACUGAUCGGCCACAUUGGGACUGAGACACGGCCCAAACUCCUACGGGAGGCUGCAGUAGGGAAUCUUCCACAAUGGGCGAAAGCCUGAUGGAGCAACGCCGCGUGUGUGAUGAAGGCUUUAGGGUCGUAAAGCACUGUUGUAUGGGAAGAAAUGCUAGAAUAGGGAAUGAUUCUAGUUCGACGGUACCAUACCAGAAAGGGACGGCUAAAUACGUGCCAGCAGCCGCGGUAAUACGUAUGUCCCGAGCGUUAUCCGGAUUUAUUGGGCGUAAAGCGAGCGCAGACGGUUGAUUAAGUCUGAUGUGAAAGCCCGGAGCUCAACUCCGGAAUGGCAUUGGAAACUGGUUAACUUGAGUGUUGUAGAGGUAAGUGGAACUCCUGGGAAAAGC
rnacentral:rRNA from 1 species